GCACUAAUGGUGUAAUGGUAACAUCUAAGCUUCCCAAACGACUACAAGUCGUAGCCUGCUUAGGCCCCUGGUUCGAUUCCUGGUUAGUGCA